UCUUUUUGAGAUUUAUUGAAAGUCUAAUCUGCUCACUGAAUAAUUUAAAUAGCCGCAGUAUAUUAACUGUGCAAAGGUAGCAUAAUCAAUAGUUUUUUAAUUGAGAACUGGAAUGAACGAUUGGACAAGAUAUAAUUUUUUUUUAUUUUAAAUUUGGAACUUGGAUUUUAAAUGAAAAUAUUUAAUUUUUUAUAUUAGACGAGAAGACCCUAUAGAUUUUUAUUAUUUUGUUUUAUUGAUUUUUAGGAGAGUUAGAAUUAAUAAAGUUAAAUUAAAUUGAUUGGGGUGAUUUAUAAAAUUUUGAACAUUAUUGUUUUGUAAAACUUAAUAAGAGGAUUUUUUGAUUUAUUUUUAAUAGUUGAUAGAUUAAAUUACCUUAGGGAUAACAGCGUAAUAGUGCUUGGAAGUUCAUAUUUAUAGUAGUGAUUGCGACCUCGAUGUUGAAUUAAGAAAUUAUUAUAGAAGCAGAAGUUUAUAAACAUUAGUCUGUUCGACUAUUAAAUAC
rnacentral:rRNA from 1 species